CGGAGGGUGCGAGCGUUGUCCGGAAUCACUGGGCGUAAAGGGCGCGUAGGUGGCGCGGGCAGUCAACGGUGAAAGUUCGGGGGCUCAACCCUGAAUCGGCCGUCGAUACUCCCGUGCUUGAGCACUGUAGAGGCUAAUGGAAUUCCGGGUGUAGCGGUGGAAUGCGUAGAGAUCCGGAAGAACACCGGUGGCGAAGGCGGUUAGCUGGGCAGUUGCUGACACUGAGGCGCGACAGCGUGGGGAGCAAACAGGAUUAGAUACCCUGGUAGUCCACGCCGUAAACGAUGGGUACUAGGUGCUUGGGGGAGCGACCCCCUGAGUGCCGGCGCUAACGCAUUAAGUACCCCGCCUGGGGAGUACGGCCGCAAGGCUG
rnacentral:rRNA from 1 species